UACGUAGGGUGCAGGCGUUAAUCGGAAUUACUGGGCGUAAAGCGUGCGCAGGCGGUUUGCUAAGACAGAUGUGAAAUCCCCGGGCUCAACCUAGGAACUGCACUCGAAACUGCGUUUCUUGAGUAUCGGAGAGGAAAGCGGAAUACCUGGUGUAGAGGUGAAAUUCGUAGAUAUCAGGUGGAACACCAGUGGCGAAGGCGGCUUUCUGGACGAUAACUGACGCUGAGACGCGAAAGCGUGGGGAGCAAACAGG
rnacentral:rRNA from 1 species